UUAAAAUAAAUUCUGUAAUAUUAUAUAUUAAUAAACAAGAUAUUAUAAUUAUAUAUCAAAUUCAAACGCAUCUUUAAUUUUUAAUUUUAAAUUAAGUAGUGUAACUCUAAUUGGUGACUAUGUUAAAGGAACAAAAUUAUGGUGAAUUCUUUGUUUUUCAAAAUUUAUAUCAGUUAUAUUAGAAUUUUAUUCAAAUUACUGAAAGGUGAAUUCCAUUUUUUUCUCUCUAAAUUCCUCAUGGAGGGAACGAAUUUAUAAAGAAAAAUUUCCAUAUUUUUUUUAUUUUUUCAAUUCUUCAAAUUUUAUUUUAUUUUUCUUUAUUUUUUUCAUUCUUCUAGUGGUUACCAAUUGAAGUCGUAUUGAUGGAUGAGCGAGUAAUUAUUUUACAUAAUUAUAUGCAUGUUCUAUAAGCAUGAAAUUAUUUGUCUUUAUUUUUCUAAAUUCUCACUUAUUUUUAACUUCGUUGUAAAGAAUACAAUUCUGAUAUAUUUAUUCAAAAUGCUAUUAGUUUCUUUAUUUAUCUUAUAUAAAUUUGGAAUUCAAGUUAUCUGUUUAAGAAUAGUAUUAAUAGCUGUAGUUUUUGUUAUAGUGAUCAGAUUUAGUAAUUUCAGUGCUAGAGAUGUAAUGCCAUGUAAGUAAAAAAAUAUAAAUAUAAAGCAAUCGUAGGAUAAAUAGUUUUAAAUACAAGAACAAAACAGAAAAUAUUACACUGAAAGACAGUUUCCAUCUUUCUAUUAACAUAAUAAGUCACAUUCUGCUACUAGGACAGUUUCUUCUAACAUGUUCUCUUAUUUCUAACUAAAUAAGUACAUUCGUAACUAGACUGGUGAAUGACCCAAAUAAUUUUUAUUUUAUCGAUUUUUUUUGUCAUUCAAUAUCUUCUAUUCUUCUCUUUCUUAAUUCAUAAUUCCUUCUGAGUUCUAACAGAUACACAACACCCACAACCACACACAGCCACACCACCACCACUACCAAUGAUGACUCCAGCACCAAAAUCACCAUCGGACCCAAAACCCAGCUUCACCACCGAUCAAAACACCACCGUCACCUGGUCCGUAUCCACCAUAUCCCGGACCACCUCCGCCAUAUCCACCAGCUGCUGUGUGACCCGCGUAACAUUGAAAAGGGGGCGAGUCGAUCCAAUUCGGUUGAUGCAAUUAAACCUUAAAAUUUUCAAAUCUAAUUUAGAUCUGUAAAGUUUCAUUUGAAAUGACUAAAUAGUGAUGAAAACGAAUGAAAAAACUAGAAAAAUGUGGAGGCCGCCAUUUUUGAGUUUGAUAAAUCGCAGAUAGGUUACAGAGAAGGAGGAGAUGACAUAAUUACAAUUCUGCCCCUCACUGAAAAAACAGAAAAAAAAAAAACAGUUUUUAAGUGAGAUCGAACUCGGGUAUGUUGAUUAAAAACACAUUCACUUACCAACUGAGCCGACAAGUCUUACAGACAAUUAUUGGUUGUUCUAAUAUUCAAACCACCAACAUAUGUUAAAACCAAUUCAGUGUACAAAUCUAUUGGUGCAUAGGUGAAUUUUGUAAAAUUGUGUACAUGUGGACAGUGAAAUAUCUGCAAAGAUGUACCCAUGUACACAUAUGUAAUUUGUGCAUAUGUAACCAUGUACACAUGUACACGUGUACAUGACAUGAGCUGUACAAAAUAAAAUUGUACAUAAAACAAC
rnacentral:lncRNA from 1 species